rnacentral:lncRNA from 1 species
ACGGUUCCGGUCUGUCUCCGCUAGUGGACGCUGGAGCGGCGAGUGGAGGAGCGGAGCUGACCGCGGUUUGUUUUGAGGCUGAAAUGUUAAAUGAGCUCAAAGCUGCGGCCCAGAAUGAGCUCCACCUGGACCUCCGAGAGAGAGGAGGAGUUCGUGGCCAUGAUGGAGGCCAAGCCGGAGCUGUUCGACAACACGGAGAUGAAUUUUAGCAAUAAAACCGUCAAGAUGAAUGCGUGGCUGGAGAUGGCCGAGCACUUCCGGCUCAGCGAGAAGGAGCUGAGGAAGAAGUGGGACUCUCUGAGGACGCAGUACAGCAGAUACACUAAGAUGUACGCAGCUGGAGGAGUGGAUGGUCGUCUGUGUACAGCCAGGCAGAAGUGGAUAUUACAACGCCUUAAAUUCCUCGACCCGCACAUAAAGAGGAGAUCAUCAUACUGCAACGAUCUGGACUAUGAGGUGACUGUGGUCGAGAACAGCUGUGACGAGCUGAGUCCGGCACAGGUGGACGUUGAGCUUGAUUCGGACAGUCUGAGUGGAGCUCAGCUGCAUCAGGCUGCGAACUCUGAUGGAGAGAUAAAUGCGGACACGUUUAAAACUCAGCUGUCUAAAAGACUGUUUCAGGAUGAUGAACGGGUCAGUAUGGACUCACCUCAUUCACAAGGGGGCAGCAAACGACACUGCGGCGGCCGUGAGAACAUGAGUAUUUUGAGUGUUCCACCUGUACUCACGACCCGGGAGUGUGAGAAUGAUGAUGAGGAGCUGGAUUCCUCCAGUCUGAGGAGAAUGGUAUGCAGCACAGUGGAGGAGCAGAAGAGGGACGACUGCUGGGACAUGUUCGGCCGCUACGUGGUGUCCUGCCUCCGGAGCCUUGAGUCGCCCAGGAGCCGAAUCAAAGCCCAGAACGAACUGUGUGCCGUCCUACAGAAACACAUAGAGAGGGAGGAGGAGGAGGGGGAUGAACCUUCUGAGAAGAAGGAGAAGCAGAUGAACUCAUGCUCGGGCUGCUCAGGCAGCAGUGGCGUUAAAGCCAGCACAAACUCUAACACUAACCCUCACACACACUGCGAGCCCAGAGCUCCGGCAGACGAGGAUGACCAGGAACCCUUCCUAAAGUCCAUGUCCAUCAUCAUGAAGCGGCUGCCGCAGAGCGUCAGGGCAGAAGUGAAGUUCAGAAUCCACGAGCUGGUGCACAGAGCUGAGAUGAAGCACCUUUACGAACAGACAGACUCUCAGAACACAACAACACCCGGUCAGGAGUCCGGCUGGGAAAACGGACUCAAUUACAAUCUCAUUUAACACUUUUUUCCGGUUAGGCUGUUUUUGUACAUAUUUUUUAAAUAAAUAAUAUAUAUAUUUAAUAUAAAUCCA